GAAUACCGAACCUUAUCAAACUCUGAAUACCGGUGAGUGGAAUUUGGCAGUCAGUCAGUGGGGGAUAAGCUUCAUUGGCGAGAGGGAAACAUCCCAGACCAUCGAAUAAGGUCCCAAAGAUAGUGCUAAGUGGUAAGAAGGAUGUAAGUUUUCAUAGACAAUGGGGAUGUUGGCUUAGAGGCAGCCAUCAUUUAAAAAGUGCGUAAUAGCUUACCCAUCGAGAGAAUUUGCGCCGAAAAUGAUCGGGACUAAGUACUACACCGAAUUUGUGGAAUUAGUAAUAAUUGGUAGGAGAGCGUUCCAACAUCGUAGAAGGCGGAGCGGUGAGCGACGUUGGAGAGGUUGGAAGUGAGAAUCUAGGCAUGAGUAACGAAAAGCAUGGUCAAAAUCCAUGCCGCCGUAAGGAUAAGGUUUCCUGGGGAAGGUUCGUCCGCCCAGGGUUAGUCGGGAGCUAAGGCGAGGCCGUAAGGAGUAGUCGAUGCACAACGGGUUAAUAAUCCCGUACCGGCUUGGUAAUGUUUGAGUUGCAUAUUGACGGAUGAGUGGAUGCUGGCGAGGUGAUGAACGUCCUCGUCUAAGGUGUUGUAAGGCACUGAUGGGACUUUGAGGCUACGGCCGAGGGGGAUCAGCAAUAGCUAAUUCCAGGAAAAUUUAUGCAAUUAAUUAUCAGGUUGCCCGUACCGCAAACCGACACAGGUAUCCGGGAUGAGUAUUCUAAGGCGCGUGAGUUAAAUCUCUCCAAGGAACUCGGCAAAAUGGCCCCGUAUCUUCGGUAGAAGGGGUGCCAACGCGAGUUGGUCUCAGUAAAGAGGCCCAACCGACUGUUUAUCAAAAACACAGCUCUCUGCCAAGUCGCAAGACAACGUAUAGGGAGUGACAUGUGACCAAUGCGGAAAGGUGAAAACUGCUUGUGAAAGCUUGUGGUCUAAGCCCCCGUGAAUGUCGGCCGUAACUAUAACGGUCCUAAGGUAGCGAAAUUCCUUGUCGGGUAAGUUCCGACCUGCACGAAUCAUGUAACGAGUUGGGUGCUGUCUCAGGGAGAAGCUCAGUGAAAUUGUAGUCGCGGUUAAGAUGCCGCGUACCCGCAGAAGGACGGAAAGACCCUAUGAACCUUUACUGUAAACUGAUAUUGUCGUUUGAUUUUUAAUACGUAGGAUAGCCGGGAGGCUUUGAGUUGUCACUCCAGGGUGAUGAUGAGCCGCAAUGUGAAAUACCGGUUUUUAACUAUUAGGCGUCUAACCACAUACCGUAAGCCGGUUGUGGGACAGUGUUAGUGGGUCAGUUUGACUGGGGCGGUCUCCUCCCAAAAAGUAACGGAGGACUGCGAAGGUUCCCUCAGACCGGAUGGUAAUCGGUCGUCGAGGAUAUGGCUAAAAGGGAGCUUAACUGUGAGACCUACAAGUCGAGCAGAUGGGAAACCAGGCCCAAGUGAUCCGGCGAUAGCUCGUGGGAGCGUCGUCGCUUAUGGGACAAAAGGUACUCUAGGGAUAACAGGCUGAUUUCGCCCAAGCGUUCAUAGCGACGGCGAAGUUUGGCACCUCGAUGUCGGCUCAUCACAUCCUGGGGCUGUAGAAGGUCCCAAGGGUUUGGCUGUUCGCCAAUUAAAGUGGUACGCGAGCUGGGUUCAGAACGUCGUGAGACAGUUCGGUCCUCUAUCCUCUGUGGGCGUUGGAAAUUUGAGGGGUUCAUUCCUUAGUACGAGAGGACCGGGAAUGACGUAUCCCUGGUGUUCCGGUUGUCGUGUCAGCGGCAGCGCCGGGUAGCUAAAUACGGAAAGGAUAAGCGCUGAAAGCAUCUAAGCGCCAAGCCUCUCCCAAGAUUAGAUUUCCAUGAGGGACCGGGAAGACGACCCGGUUGAUAGGGCGGGAGUGUAAGCGCAGUAAUGUGUUGAGCUAACCGUUACUAAUAACCCGAAAGUUUGUUCAC
rnacentral:rRNA from 1 species